CCGGAGCCCGCGCGCUCUUGUUGCUAUGGUAACGCAUCAACAUCCAGCGCCCUGGUGGCAGUGUGGGCUUUGGAGGCGGCGGAGGCGCGCAGCCAGAGCCUGCGGCUGAGAUGCCGCUGAGCGCCGCUGGCAUCCUGAGUUCCUCUUCCACCACUUCCAACAGGUCGAGGAAUAAAACUCGCUAUCGGACCAAAGCCGUGAGCUCCGAGGUGGACGAGAGCCUCUUCGGAGGUGUCAAGCCUCUGACCCAGGACAACAGUCCUACCGUGCUGCUCCGAGAUAAGCACGCCAUUCGGAAGACUCUCGCUGCCCUGAGCUUGGACCACAAGCCGGAGACCAUCCAGGUCGUCACCCGGGACAUGGUCCGGAAACUCAUUGUUCCCGCCAAGGAUCCCUCGGGGGAGUCCCUCAUCAUGAGCCCUGAGGACUUUGAGCGCAUCAGGUGGGCGUCCCACGUCCUGAGCAGAGAAGAGCUGGAGGCCAGGGAGCAGGCCUUCCAGAAGGAGAAGGAGGCCAUCAUGGACGCAGUGGCCACACGUAAGAAGAUCAUGAAGCACAAAGAGAUGGUGUGGAGAACCAACAGGAAGCUCAGCGACCUGGAGGAGGCGGCCAAGGAGAGGGCCCAGGACCUGCUGCAGAGAGCCAGCCAACUGCAGGCCGAGCAGGAGGAGGAGCUCAGGGGCAUGAGCAAGAUCAUCCUCAAUGCCAAGUGCCAUGCCAUCCGGGAUGCCCAAAUCCUGGAGAAGCAGCUGAUUCAAAGAGAGCUGGACGCGGAGGAGAGGCGUUUGGAUCACAUGAUGGAGGUGGAACGGCAGAAGGCCAUUCAAAGGCAGGAGGAGCUGGACAGGAAGAGGAGGGAGGAGAGAAUCCGGGGCAGACGGCACAUCGUGCAGCAGAUGGAAAAGAACCGGGAGGAGCGGUCGCUGCUGGCGGAGCAGCGGGAGCAGGAGAAGGAGCAGGUGCUGGCGUCCAUGCAGCAGCUCCAGGAGGAAGAUCUGCGGGACAUGGAACGAAGGCACCAGGAAAAAUUGAAGAUGCAAGCCGAGAUUAAGCGCAUUAACGACGAAAACCAGAGACAGAAAGCAGAGCUGCUCGCCCAGGAGAAGCUGGCGGACCAGAUGGUGAUGGAGUUCACCAAGAAGAAGAUGGCUCGGGAAGCAGAGUUUGAGGCUGAGCAGGAGAGAAUCCGGAGGGAGAAAGAGAAGGAGAUCACCCGGCUGAGGGCCAUGCAGGAGAAGGCGCAGGAUCACCAGGCACAGCAGGACGCCUUGCGGGCCAAGCGCAACCAGGAGGUUGCGGACAGGGAGUGGCGCAGGAAGGAAAAGGAAAACGCGCAGAAGAAGAUGGAGACAGAGGCCCAACUGCGCCAGAGCCGGCUGGAACAGGUGGCCUUCAAGGAGCACGCUCUGGCCGUUCAGGUGCAACGGGACCGGGACGAUUUCGAGAGGAUUCUUCGGUAGGUGGGGCCGGGCACCCCGGCUUCCUUUCCUUGGCCUGCGGCAGGGAUGGCCCGCACUGGGGGGAGGACCCUGCUGGCAGGUGCACAGACAGAGGUGCUCUCCUCUUGCCCGGGACGGUGGAGCCAUUCUGAAUGGAUGGGUAGUUGAAAUGUUUCAAAGACAAGAAUGGGGAGCCGAGAGGUUUUUGUUUUUGGUUUUUUAUUGAACUCUUAAUGUUUAUUUAUUUUUGAGAGAGAGAGACAGAGCUUGAGAGGGGGAGGGGCAGAGAGAGAGGGAGACCCAGAAUCCGAAGCAGGCUCCGAGCUGUCAGCAUAGAGCCUGACGCGGGGCUCGAACUCAUGAGCUGUGAGAUCAUGCAUGACCUGAGCCAAAGUUGGACACUCCACCGACUGAGCCACCCAGGAGCCCCAGGAGCCAAGAAUUUUCCGAUUAGGGAUUUGGAAACCAGCACCCGGAGGUGUCUAAAGAAUUGGGUAUUAUUUGGAUUGUUUAUCCCGGAGGAUUAAAGGCGUAAGUAAAAGUAUACAUCUGGUCCCUCUGCCCUCCCCUGCCUCGACGUACCCCCGCUGGUUAGGGGUGAGGAUAAAGCAGACAGUGGGGGAGAAUACGAGGAACAGAGAGAGCUUCGGACACCAAGCUUGCUCCGCCGUGGGACAUAUUGGAGGUGAACAAAACACAGUCGUUGGCCAUCGCUGUGGGAAGGAUGUGAGCAACUCCUGCUUGGAUUGACCUCCCCUGUAUCCAUCUGUCUUUCCUGCCAGCUCGUCAUCCUUUUAUUUUCGUUGUCUUUUGUCUCCACGAUAAUUCCCACCUGUAAGUGGAAGUGAGGUGUUCACGACUGUCGCUCUCCCUGCCCGGCGUUCACCCCCAGAGCCGCCAGCCGUCACGGCUGCUCUGGCGGCAGUCGGGGUCACCUGCCGCCACCAGACCCCACCCCCUGGGCUAAGUGUUCUGGGCUCACCAGGAGUGACUCCUUUCUCGCUCUGGUUCGGACUCUGUGAUAGCAGCAGCUUUCAAAGAAACAAACCGAAUUGCGAUGGGGGUGUGGAUACGAGAUUACAGAAAUCGUGCUCCGGUGAGUAGAGACUGAGAGGUGCGGCCCGGCCUUCUCGUCUACCUGGUCUAUGUGCCAGAGGUCCUCCUUGAUAUUGACCCCAUUAGUUGCAUGCCAGACCCCAGGGCCCCCCGCCAGAGGCAGCGCAGAUCUGUAGGAAUCUCCGUCCUUGCCAGGGCCGGGGUCCUGGUCUUUUAUUGGACCCUGGGCCCCCCGCGCCUGCUCCCCCAGCCGCGGUGGCCUUUGCCUGCCCUCAAGGGUCAUGCCGUGGUCUCCGGAAGCCUGCCGAGGAAGGCAGCUUCCGUAAUGGCCCCGAAGAUUCUGCCCCUGGGCUCCAAACUACCUUUCAGAUGCCUGCCCUCACUGCCACAUGCCUUUAGCAGGCACUAAUAAAUAUUAAUGGAAAGAAAUUAAGGUCCUCCUUCUGCCCCUGACCCAUUUGUCCCUUCUUUGCUUUGUUUGCCUGAAGCAUAUGCACCAGCCAGUUAUUAAAGCGAGACCAGCCCCUCGGAGAUGUUCGGUCUCACCUGCUGUUCUGGGUUAGCAUCUAGACCUGGUGUCUCCAGGGCCACGUGACCACCAGGUCACAGGCCAGGUGUCUUCAAGUGCUAGGAAUGUCCCUGCCCGUAGCCAGCAAUGCAACUUUUCCUACUUCAAAGCAUGACCUUGUGGAUGGCCUCUACGCGGGCUUCCUGCUUCCGGACAGAGGGAUGCCUUGGACUCUCAGCUCACCGACUAGGCAGGGAGAGCUGACCUCCCCUCCCCUGUGGUGCUGAGAAUUGCCUUGGAGCUUUCAUCAAGUACUGUGGCCCGGGCUCCACCUCCACAGAUUCUGAUGUAACUGGUCGGGGGUGAGGCCCAGGCUCCAAGGGCACUGCCCUAACCCCGUGAAGUGACCAGGCUCUUCCCCACUCAGGUUUCUCACUGCCUGCCAGCCCAGGGGAUCUCCAGUGACACAAGCAGCUUCCCAUUUCCACCCUGUCUCGCAGGAUGGAAAA